rnacentral:rRNA from 2 species
UUAAGCAUAUCAAUAAGCGGAGGAAAAGAAACCAACAGGGAUUGCCCUAGUAACGGCGAGUGAAGCGGCAAAAGCUCAAAUUUGAAAUCUGGCUUCGGCCCGAGUUGUAAUUUGUAGAGGAUGUUUCGGGCACCGCCCCGGCGUAAGUCCCUUGGAACAGGGCGUCAUAGAGGGUGAGAAUCCCGUCUGGCGUCGUGGUAGGGCCCAUGUGAAACUCCUUCGACGAGUCGAGUUGUUUGGGAAUGCAGCUCAAAAUGGGUGGUAAAUUUCAUCUAAAGCUAAAUACUGGCCAGAGACCGAUAGCGCACAAGUAGAGUGAUCGAAAGAUGAAAAGCACUUUGAAAAGAGAGUUAAACAGUAUGUGAAAUUGUUGAAAGGGAAGCGCUUACAACCAGACUUGAGCCCGUCGGUUCCCCCUCGCUUCUGCGUGGGCUACUCCGGCGGGUCCAGGCCAACAUCGGUUCGGGUGGCUGGUCAAAGGCCCCGGGAAUGUACCUCACCUUCGGGUUAGGCUUAUAGCCCGGGGUGUCAUGCGGCCUACCUGGACCGAGGAACGCGCUUCGGCUCGGAUGUUGGCGUAAUGGUUGUCAGCGACCCGUCUUGAAACACGGACCAAGGAGUCGAAGAGCUAUGCGAGUGUUUGGGUGUCAAACCCGUACGCGUAAUGAAAGUGAACGGAGGUAGGAAGCUUCGGCUGCGCUAUCGACCGAUCCUGAUGUUCUCGGAUGGAUUUGAGUAAGAGCAUAACUCUCCGGACCCGAAAGAUGGUGAACUAUGCCUGAAUAGGGUGAAGCCAGAGGAAACUCUGGUGGAGGCUCGCAGCGGUUCUGACGUGCAAAUCGAUCGUCAAAUUUGGGUAUAGGGGCGAAAGACUAAUCGAACCAUCUGGUAGCUGGUUCCUGCCGAAGUUUCCCUCAGGAUAGCAGUAACGUUUUCAGUUUUAUGAGGUAAAGCGAAUGAUUAGAGGCCUUGGGGUUGAAACAACCUUAACCUAUUCUCAAACUUUAAAUAUGUAAGAAGUCCUUGUUACUUAGUUGAACGUGGACAUUUGAAUGUAUCGUUACUAGUGGGCCAUUUUUGGUAAGCAGAACUGGCGAUGCGGGAUGAACCGAACGUGAGGUUAAGGUGCCGGACUGCACGCUCAUCAGACACCACAAAAGGUGUCAAUGCAUCUAGACAGCCGGACGGUGGCCAUGGAAGUCGGAAUCCGCUUAGGAGUGUGUAACAACUCACCGGCCGAAUGCAUUGGCCCUGAAAAUGGAUGGCGCUUAAGCGUGCGACCUAUACCUCGCCGUCAGGGUUGACAUGAUGCCCUGACGAGUAGGCAGGCGUGGAGGUUUGUGACGAAGCCUUGGGGGUGACCCCGGGUCGAACAACCUCUAG